rnacentral:lncRNA from 1 species
AGUAUCAUUAAAGCUUGAAGUGUUGAAAUAAGUGGCCUGGGACUGGCUUCCACGGUGAUAAAAGAUUCAUCUGGUAGCACCAGAGUAAAAGAAGUCUCACUAAACACUGGCCGGGCAGCUGCUGCUCGGUGUGAGCAUCCCGGGGAUGCAAGCGUGGGGGAGGUGAGCAAACGGGUUGAGAAAGGCUAAGUCACUCCACUUAGGUCACAUGGCGAUCAUGGAGCACAAGACAUCACCUGAAAUAACCAGGGAUGAUAGAAUUUGGGAUCACAACUUCAUUCCAAACGUUUGAUACAGGCAAUAAUGGUAAUAGAGAAUGCAUGGAAGAAGAGAUCAAUGUGAAAUACUCUGUACAAGCAAACUGGUUGUCAUGUUGUCCCCAGUUUCAUAACCUUUGUUUAGGAAGCCAAUUUUAGUUGAAGGGACAGAAAUAUAUAAGUUCAGAUCAAUUCAAAAAACACUGACUGCAUUCCAUAUACUGUGUUAGCAAUUGGAGCACAGCAACAUGUUUUAAACAUCCCUGCCUUCAGGGAGCUUCACGUCUAGAGGAGGAGGUUGCAGAAGGGAGCAUUAGAGUAGUAUGCCCAUCUCCAUAGCUGAAAGCAUUUCAGGGGGCUCAAGCAAUUUCCUGGUACCUGGAACAUAUAGUUGUAAAGGAGUGGCCCAUGUAAAAACAUUGUUUUUUCCCCAGUUGCCAAAGUUUCACUUAGCAGAGAAAGAGCAAUUUACUGAAUUGUAUAGAAUGACUGGAAGAGCGAGGUGCUUUUUCAG